rnacentral:rRNA from 1 species
GUGGGGAAUUUUGGACAAUGGGGGCAACCCUGAUCCAGCCAUGCCGCGUGAGUGAAGAAGGCCUUCGGGUUGUAAAGCUCUUUCGGCCGGGAAGAAAUCGCAUCGGUUAAUACCCGGUGUGGAUGACGGUACCGGAAUAAGAAGCACCGGCUAACUACGUGCCAGCAGCCGCGGUAAUACGUAGGGUGCGAGCGUUAAUCGGAAUUACUGGGCGUAAAGCGUGCGCAGGCGGUUUUUUAAGACAGGCGUGAAAUCCCCGGGCUCAACCUGGGAACUGCGCUUGUGACUGGAAGGCUAGAGUACGGCAGAGGGGGGUGGAAUUCCACGUGUAGCAGUGAAAUGCGUAGAGAUGUGGAGGAACACCAAUGGCGAAGGCAGCCCCCUGGGUCGAUACUGACGCUCAUGCACGAAAGCGUGGGUAGCAAACAGGAUUAGAAACCCUGGUAGUCC